UCCGGGUGUGAUGGCCCAUGCCUGUCAUCCCAGCCACUCGGGAGGCUGAGGCAGGAGGAUCACAAGUUCAAGGCCAGCCUCAGCAACUUAGUGAGACCCUGACUCAA
rnacentral:sRNA from 1 species